AUAAUGGGUCAGCGACUUAUAUUCUGUAGCAAGGUUAACCGAAUAGGGGAGCCGAAGGGAAACCGAGUCUUAACUGGGCGUUAAGUUGCAGGGUAUAGACCCGAAACCCGGUGAUCUAGCCAUGGGCAGGUUGAAGGUUGGGUAACACUAACUGGAGGACCGAACCGACUAAUGUUGAAAAAUUAGCGGAUGACUUGUGGCUGGGGGUGAAAGGCCAAUCAAACCGGGAGAUAGCUGGUUCUCCCCGAAAGCUAUUUAGGUAGCGCCUCGUGAAUUCAUCUCCGGGGGUAGAGCACUGUUUCGGCAAGGGGGUCAUCCCGACUUACCAACCCGAUGCAAACUGCGAAUACCGGAGAAUGUUAUCACGGGAGACACACGGCGGGUGCUAACGUCCGUCGUGAAGAGGGAAACAACCCAGACCGCCAGCUAAGGUCCCAAAGUCAUGGUUAAGUGGGAAACGAUGUGGGAAGGCCCAGACAGCCAGGAUGUUGGCUUAGAAGCAGCCAUCAUUUAAAGAAAGCGUAAUAGCUCACUGGUCGAGUCGGCCUGCGCGGAAGAUGUAACGGGGCUAAACCAUGCACCGAAGCUGCGGCAGCGACGCUUAUGCGUUGUUGGGUAGGGGAGCGUUCUGUAAGCCUGCGAAGGUGUGCUGUGAGGCAUGCUGGAGGUAUCAGAAGUGCGAAUGCUGACAUAAGUAACGAUAAAGCGGGUGAAAAGCCCGCUCGCCGGAAGACCAAGGGUUCCUGUCCAACGUUAAUCGGGGCAGGGUGAGUCGACCCCUAAGGCGAGGCCGAAAGGCGUAGUCGAUGGGAAACAGGUUAAUAUUCCUGUACUUGGUGUUACUGCGAAGGGGGGACGGAGAAGGCUAUGUUGGCCGGGCGACGGUUGUCCCGGUUUAAGCGUGUAGGCUGGUUUUCCAGGCAAAUCCGGAAAAUCAAGGCUGAGGCGUGAUGACGAGGCACUACGGUGCUGAAGCAACAAAUGCCCUGCUUCCAGGAAAAGCCUCUAAGCAUCAGGUAACAUCAAAUCGUACCCCAAACCGACACAGGUGGUCAGGUAGAGAAUACCAAGGCGCUUGAGAGAACUCGGGUGAAGGAACUAGGCAAAAUGGUGCCGUAACUUCGGGAGAAGGCACGCUGAUAUGUAGGUGAAGUCCCUCGCGGAUGGAGCUGAAAUCAGUCGAAGAUACCAGCUGGCUGCAACUGUUUAUUAAAAACACAGCACUGUGCAAACACGAAAGUGGACGUAUACGGUGUGACGCCUGCCCGGUGCCGGAAGGUUAAUUGAUGGGGUCAGCGCAAGCGAAGCUCUUGAUCGAAGCCCCGGUAAACGGCGGCCGUAACUAUAACGGUCCUAAGGUAGCGAAAUUCCUUGUCGGGUAAGUUCCGACCUGCACGAAUGGCGUAAUGAUGGCCAGGCUGUCUCCACCCGAGACUCAGUGAAAUUGAACUCGCUGUGAAGAUGCAGUGUACCCGCGGCAAGACGGAAAGACCCCGUGAACCUUUACUAUAGCUUGACACUGAACAUUGAGCCUUGAUGUGUAGGAUAGGUGGGAGGCUUUGAAGUGUGGACGCCAGUCUGCAUGGAGCCGACCUUGAAAUACCACCCUUUAAUGUUU
rnacentral:rRNA from 1 species